GGUGCGUACAAAUGAUUAAGUGCUCGAAUCGAUCCCUCUCUCUAUCCCCGAUAUGUAGUGAUUUGUUUCCAAAAAUUUUCCAACCCAAAAUACAAUAUUCGUCCUCUUGAUAGUGGCAGGGAAACAUUUGAAUUUUGUUAGUAAAAAAAUCUUGUUUCUAGUUUUGAGUCUUUCGAGUAUAAAAAACAAUGUGUCCAUAAUUGGUCACACUAUGGUAUAGCAAGUGUAGUCGAUAAAACUAGUGACUAGUGGACGGUGUCGCAUAGAAAGAAAAAUCACAAAGCGCUAAAUAGGAAUACUUAGAGAGAUCGUACUUAUAUUUUAUCAAGUACUUUUAUACAUUUUGAUAUCGGCUCUCUCUCGACCUAAUGUGCAUAAACUUGGGCAUUUUUAUAAGUAAACUUUAUUAUUUUAAUUUUUAUCUGUGUCCAAAACUUUUAAAAAUAUUGUCUGAUAUUUUUUAAAGAAAUUCCUACUUUUGGAGAAUAGCCGAACGUAGGUUCAUGAUGAUUCUACCUUAUUCUUCUACGGAAAGCUUUAUUUUUCAUAAAUUGAAUGAAUCUUAACCUUUUUCACUCCAUUUCGCUGUAUUUUUAUCCUUCAUUCAGGUAGUUAUCAUAUUCUCUAUAUCUCGAUUUGCCUUUUCUAGUGAUCUGUAAGGCCAGGAAAAAUAGUUAAUUUAGAACCAAUUUCUUUUAAAGAAUCAAU